GUACCAGUACCAGUGCAAAUUGCGGCUGCUGCCAUGCCAUGGAAGGUGUGAAAGGGGUACUAGGGUCUCUCCAAAUGGUUGGGAAAAUAAAAAGUCAACAAGAGAGAAAAAGGGCCACUGCAGUGCGCCAGAGAAAAUGAGAACGGAGACUCGACAUCCUCCUUCAACACAGAGAAAAGCGACCACUGAAGCACUUGGACUCCAUUACUGAAAGACUGGGACUGGGAACUGGGAACUCCAUCACUGGCCAGCUGCCAAUCAAUUGGUUGGCACUUUACUCCGUUUUAGAAAUAACUGAAUUUAUGGCAUCUUCUCCGUUUAAUUGAUUGGCUGCCAAGCUCUACCAGAUUGCCGCGA